rnacentral:rRNA from 1 species
GGGGUAGGAAUACGUAGGUAACGUACCCUCGGGGCCAGGACAGCCACGGGAAACUGUGGGUAAUACUCGAUAAACUUCCCAAUCAUUAUCGGAGGGGAAGCAAUGGGUGUGAUUCCACCUGAAGAGGGGCUUACGCCCUAUCAGCUAGUUGGUGAGGUAACGGCUCACCAAGGCUACCACGCUCACGGGGUGUGAGAGCAUGGCCCCCACCACUGGCACUGAGACACUGGCCAGACACCUACGGGUGGCUGCAGUCGAGAAUCUUCGGCAAUGGACGCAAGUCUGACCGAGCGACGCCGCGUGUGGGAUGAAGGCCUUCGGGUUGUAAACCACUGUCAGAGGGGAUGAAGUGUACCAUAGUUAUCUCUUGUAUUUGACAGAGCCUCAGACGAAGCACGGGCUAAUUUCGUGCCAGCAGCCGCGGUAAUACGAACUGUGCGAACGUUAUUCGGAAUCACUGGGCUUAAAGGGUGCGUAGGCUGUUAUCUUGGUCAUGUGUGAAAUCUCUCAGCUCAACCGGGAUACUGCGCUUGAAACUGGAUGACUGGAGUGAUGCAAGAGUGUGUGGAACUUCCGGUG